rnacentral:snRNA from 1 species
AACUUUGCACAGUGUAUCGUAGCCAAUGAGGUUUAUUUGAGGUGCAAUUAUUGCUAAUUGAAAACUUUUCCCAAUACCCUGCCAUGAUGACUUGAAAUCUAAUCAGCAUUGGCAAUUUUUGACAGUCUCUAAGGGGA